rnacentral:rRNA from 1 species
GACGAACGCUGGCGGCGUGCUUACACAUGCAAGUCGAGCGAUGAAGUCUCUUCGGAGAUGGAUUAGCGGCGGACGGGUGAGUAACACGUGGGUAACCUGCCUCAUAGAGGGGAAUAGCCUUUCGAAAGGAAGAUUAAUACCCCAUAAGAUUGUAGUUUCGCAUGAAACAGCAAUUAAAGGAGUAAUCCGCUAUGAGAUGGACCCGCGUCGCAUUAGCUAGUUGGUGAGGUAACGGCUCACCAAGGCGACGAUGCGUAGCCGACCUGGGAGGGUGAUCGGCCACAUUGGGACUGAGACACGGCCCAGACUCCUACGGGAGGCAGCAGUGGGGAAUAUUGCACAAUGGGGGAAACCCUGAUGCAGCAACGCCGCGUGAGUGAUGACGGUCUUCGGAUUGUAAAGCUCUGUCUUCAGGGACGAUAAUGACGGUACCUGAGGAGGAAGCCACGGCUAACUACGUGCCAGCCGCCGCAGUAA